GUGCUCGCUUCGGCAGCACAUACACUAAAAUUGGAACCAUACAGAGAAGAUUAGCAUGGCCCCUGCACAAGGAUGACAUGCAAAUUCAUGAAGGUGUUCCAUAUCUAA